rnacentral:rRNA from 1 species
AUUGAACGCUGGCGGCAGGCUUAACACAUGUAAGUCGAGCGGAGAUGAGGUGCUUGCACCUUAUCUUAGCGGCGGACGGGUGAGUAAUGCUUAGGAAUCUGCCUAUUAGUGGGGGACAACAUUCCGAAAGGAAUGCUAAUACCGCAUACGUCCUACGGGAGAAAGCAGGGGAUCUUCGGACCUUGCGCUAAUAGAUGAGCCUAAGUCGGAUUAGCUAGUUGGUGGGGUAAAGGCCUACCAAGGCGACGAUCUGUAGCGGGUCUGAGAGGAUGAUCCGCCACACUGGGACUGAGACACGGCCCAGACUCCCACGGGAGGCAGCAGUGGGGAAUAUUGGACAAUGGGGGGAACCCUGAUCCAGCCAUGCCGCGUGUGUGAAGAAGGCCUUAUGGUUGUAAAGCACUUUAAGCGAGGAGGAGGCUACUGAGACUAAUACUCUUGGAUAGUGGACGUUACUCGCAGAACAAGCACCGGCUAACUCUGUGCCAGCCGCCGCGGUAAAAC